rnacentral:rRNA from 1 species
AACGAACGCUGGCGGCAUGCCUAACACAUGCAAGUCGAACGAGACCUUCGGGUCUAGUGGCGCACGGGUGCGUAACGCGUGGGAAUCUGCCCUUGGGUUCGGGAUAACAGUUGGAAACGACUGCUAAUACCGGAUGAUGACUUCGGUCCAAAGAUUUAUCGCCCAGGGAUGAGCCCGCGUCGGAUUAGCUAGUUGGUGAGGUAAGAGCUCACCAAGGCGACGAUCCGUAGCUGGUCUGAGAGGAUGAUCAGCCACACUGGGACUGAGACACGGCCCAGACUCCUACGGGAGGCAGCAGUGGGGAAUAUUGGACAAUGGGCGAAAGCCUGAUACAGCAAUGCCGCGUGAGUGAUGAAGGCCUUAGGGUUGUAAAGCUCUUUUACCCGGGAUGAUAAUGACAGUACCGGGAGAAUAAGCCCCGGCUAACUCCGUG